AAUAUUCGACAAUGGGCGCAAGCCUGAUCCAGCCAUUCCGCGUGAGAGAUGAAGGUUCUAGGGUUGUAAAGCUCUUUCAUCGGUGAAGAUAAUGACGGUAACCGGAGAAGAAGCCCCGGCUAACUUCGUCCCAGCAUCCGCGGUAGUACGUAGGGGGCUAGCGUUGUUCGGAAUUACUGGGCGUAAAGCGCGCGUAGGCGGAUUGGUCAGUUAGGGGUGAAAUCCCAGGGCUCAAACCUGGAACUGCCUUUAAUACUGCCAGUCUUGAGUAUGGAAGAGGUGAGGGGAAUUCCGAGUGUAGAGGUGAAAUUCGUAGAUAUUCGGAGGAACACCAGUGGCGAAGGCGGCUCACUGGUCCAUUACUGACGCUGGGGUGCGAAAGCGUGGGGAGCAAACAG
rnacentral:rRNA from 1 species